rnacentral:rRNA from 1 species
GACGAACGCUGGCGGCGUGCUUAACACAUGCAAGUCGAACGGCGAACGAGGGAGCUUGCUCCCUCCGGAUCAGUGGCGAACGGGUGAGUAACACGUGAGCAAUCUGCCCUGGCCUCUGGGAUAGGCGUUGGAAACGACGUCUAAUACCGCAUAACAUCACGAAAUGGCAUCAUUUUGUGCUCAAAUGAUUUAUUCGCUAUGGGAUGGACCCGCGUCGCAUUAGCUAGUUGGUAAGGUAAUAGCUUACCAAGGCGACGAUGCGUAGCCGACCUGAGAGGGUGAUCGGCCACAUUGGGACUGAGACACGGCCCAGACUCCUACGGGAGGCAGCAGUGGGGAAUAUUGCACAAUGGGGGAAACCCUGAUGCAGCAACGCCGCGUGAGUGAUGACGGUCUUCGGAUUGUAAAGCUCUGUCUUUGGGGACGAUAAUGACGGUACCCAAGGAGGAAGCCACGGCUAACUACGUGCCAGCCGCCGCCGUAAGAC